GCGGACGUGGUGCACGGUGCACCGCUGCAUUUCAUGGUUGUAUGGAACAGGAAAUUGAAGCAGCUGCUGGGGUUCGACUCCCCGCGUCCGCA